rnacentral:lncRNA from 1 species
UCCCACCCAACCUAAGUCAACCUAAUCACUAAAAUGCAACCUAACUUUCCAUUCUUCUCUUUUUAUACACAUUCAUACAUUUUUUUCAUCCAAAUCCACAUAUGCAUUUCUUUUAUUCAUUUUUUUUUCUUUUUCUUUGGGAUAACUUUUGUCCCAUCUUAUUAUUUUUUUCAUUUCAUUUUUUUUCUAUUUCUUUUUUUUCUUUGGGAUAACUUUUGUCCCAUCUUAUUAUUUUUUUCAUUUCAUUUUAUUUUUUUCUAUAUUUUUUUUUCUAUGACAAAUGCAUAUGGUUAAAGCAAAU